UGGGGCCGGGUCAGAGCGGGGGACAGUCAUUACAAGAAGCUCAGUUGAACUUCUGGAGUGAGAAAGGAAGCUGGACACCCUUUCGGAGUUUCACAGGCUCAGGUCUGCUCAGGAGGCACCUUCGGCCCUGGGCACCCCUCUGGAGUAUUUGCAGAACCCGUGGGUCCGACGGAGUCCCCAUCAGUGCCCGGAGAGGAUUCCACUGGUAAUUCUUUGGAGCAACACUAUGCCUUUGCGACUUAAUCAUCAGCAUUUGGAAUACAGUUUCUUUUGUCUGAGCUCGAACUGA
rnacentral:lncRNA from 1 species